rnacentral:rRNA from 1 species
UAGAACUUGCAACAAUUCUGCUUAAUCUAACGAGCACUGCUUGUGGAAGAAAGCGAGAACAAAUCAGAAGAUAGACUGGUGGUCUGUCCUGAGUCCGAAUGCCUAUGAUCUAACCCUGGAAAGGCUGCACUCUUUAUGAGUUUCAAGGCCGAUGUGAGGAGUUAUUCGAAACUGUCACUGGAUCUGGGGUUGGUGGCUAAAUGUCAAUCGUAUAGGCUAAUAUCUGGUUGCGUUCGAAAGAUCUAUAGCAAUAGACAAGAAGUAGACCCGCUUCCUCCUUUAGAAGGUGCGUAGAUACCUGUGGGCAACAUAAUGUAUUAACGGUCAAAUUGUAGGAACCUGUAAGUGCAUUCCAUAAGGUUGAAGGUCGGUGUGCCCUUAAUUGGGAACCCUGAUCAGUAAAUCCCAUUCAAGAUUAAGUUCGUUGCUAAUGGUUAAGUAGGACCGAAUAGGUCCGAAGGUAAAACUUAGUCACUGCGCUGCACUGAAAGAAGGUUCACCGUUAAGUCUUCGGUGGUCCAUUGGAAUCCUUUCGAGGUUACCUUGGACUUCGUAAAAACAAGCAAACGUUAGUCGGAGUUCCAUCUCUAACUUUCGAGUCGCCACAUAACAACUGGUAUCGACAAUGUUCAUUCAAUGGCUGCGUCAUGAAGGUUCCAGGUAGUGUCUCUAUUCGGUUAGGAUGGGUAUAAACUUAUCUAACAAGAGGGCAACAACCCCUAGGCUGUACUAAGGCGUUCCAUACGCAUUGAGUGCUUAGCUGCCGUCGGUGCUUUAAUCACACCUUACAAGUCGCAUUAGCAGUAUGCAUCUUCUUACGAGUGUCCACCAACUUAUAAGGUUUACACCGCGGUAGUCUACAUUCUCAGUGAAUGCGUAGCCGACGUACGCCACCUUGGUAGAACGCCGUACCCUCCCUUCAAUGGGAUUGGGUAGUGAUACUGUUCUCUUGAGUAGCUCAGGGUCACCAGAAAGACCCGCGUUAAUCCACCUUGGUUAUUCCGCUGUCCGACAUGAAUAGGGGAUGCAACGCCUAACUUCCUUGUAAUACAUGGUAACGAAGGGCCCUCACGUAUGAUUCCUGACUCCAUACACUUUCUACCUUCGGGUAAUUGGUCCAAAUAUGCCUUCAACGGCACUGUUGUCUUCUAACACAGGCUGGGCUCAAUAAUGAAACGUACAUGGCUAACUGGCGUAAUGAAUUUGACAACCGAGUUAUGAAACCUAGGGAUAAUAAUCGUGUUCAUCAAGCGACUGUUUAACAAAAACACAGGUGUAGGUUACGACGAUCUUUGGCUCUGCGCCGACAUGUGAUCAGUGCUUCAAUAGAGUAAACAUCGGCGGUAACUGUAACCGUCCAAAGGUAGCGAAAUUCCUUGUCAGCUAAAUACUGACCUGCAUGAAACAUAGAACGACUAGAUGGGUGUCUUACGCAAGUUUAAUGGUGAAAUGACACUGGACGUGAAGAUGCGUUCGUUGGGAACAUGACAAGAAGACCCUCAGGAGCUUUAUACGCAAACUAGCGGUACUGUGAUCUGUUUCGGCUACGGUGGUAUACCUCUGUUGCCAUGCAGCAUCACUUUACCAUUCAAUCAGGUGAGGUUCCGUUAGACGGUUUGAUUGGGGCGAUCACCUUCUUUACUCAACGAGAGGUUAACAAAGGAUGGCAAACCCGUCAUGAAAGCGGUACUACACGUAGAAAGGUAGAACCAAUCCUGAGAGCUAGAAGUUAUUCAAUCUAGGCACAAUAGCUGUCUUACUGAUCUUGAAAGCAACUUAAAGGAUAAAAGUUACCCAAGGGAUAACAGGCUUAAUGGGAACAAGAGUUCUUAUCGACUUCCCGUCUUGGCACCUCGAUGUCGGCUUACCUUUUCCAUGAGAGGCACAAGGCUCAAGGGUGGAGGUGCUCACUCCAUUCUAAGGUACACGAGCUGGGUUCAGAACGAUGUAAAUCAGUUUGGUCUAUAUCUAUUCCCUGUACAGCUGGGGUCACGGUAUCUAGUACGCAAGGACCGAUACAUAGCUAGCUCCCCAAUAACGCCUAGUUACACGGUUAUCACUGUUCGAAGAUAAGUGAAAGUAAGGCUCUCGGCUGCAUACCCGACUGGGUGGCUGGUCAUUGAACGAUUAGGUAAG